rnacentral:pre_miRNA from 1 species
UUCAAAUUUUGACUUUUCGUGUUAUUUAAAAUUUUUUUGAAAUUGAUAUUUUUGUUUUUAUUAGAUGAUAAAUCAUAAAUAGUACUUUACGUGUGACUAAUUUUUUUCUAAUUUUCUAAAAAUUUUUCAAAUAAAACGGAUGGUCAAAGGUUGGACACGGAAACC